CACAGAAACCAGAGAGCUUGAGAAGCUGAUCACAUUCACCAGAGUUCCUUUGCAGGGAAGGGGCUGCUGGCCCUUAGUACAUAACAGGGUCCUGUUGUUCUCGAUCUCCUAAUAACUCAAUGGUUUUGGACCUGCCCUGGCAAGGGGGACCUGCAGGGGACCACUCGAGGAGGUGGAGUCUUCAGGGACCCUCAGGUGCCAGGGUUUAGAGUUCUGCCUGCCCCUUACUUCCCAGCACCAGGCAAGAACUCCAGUAUCUUUCCGGGGUGGCAAAUUCAGCUCAUAACACCCAGAAGAUAAGAAGUGACCCCCAUGCACACACCACAGGCACUCGGCCCAGAGCAGGCCCAGUGAGGACAGAGAUCAUCCAAAUACAGACGAGGCAGAGCUGCCUAUGCUGAGAAAGCUAACAUCCGAGGAGGCACAGCUGGACGCGAGACACGCCACACUGCGCAGGGCGUUUGGGACGGAGAGUUUAUUUAGCCAUACCACGAUGAGUCCCGAGGCGCCAGAUUGUUUCCUACCUUCCCUCCACUACACUGUUCCUCCUCCUGGGACCGAGACAGGCCACGCUGAUGGAGAGCACGUGUCCGAGCUCAGGCGGAGCUGGGCGGUCUGGUAAGGUCAGCACUGGCCGAGGUGGGCGGGCAGAGCAGGGCCGCUGAGUCGGAGGCCUCGCCCAGUUCCUAGGGGCCGCCUGAGUGGGGAGCUGUCCCGGCUCCUGGUGCUGAAACCACCCUGUCCCGGCCUGACUUCUGGACAUAAGGACACUCGUU
rnacentral:lncRNA from 1 species